AACGAACGCUGGCGGCAGGCUUAACACAUGCAAGUCGAACGGGCGUAGCAAUACGUCAGUGGCGGACGGGUGAGUAACACGUGGGAAUAUGCCUUUCGGUUCGGAACAACUCGGGGAAGCCCGUGCUAAUUCCGGAUACGCCUUACGGGAAGGAUUAUCGCCGAAGAUUAGCCCGCGUUGGAUUAGCUAGUUGGUGAGGUAAAGGCUCACCAAGGCGACGA
rnacentral:rRNA from 1 species